AGGACUCAUCCCUCAUUCAGAGCGUCAAAUGGAAAGUCAAAAUAUUUACUCACAUCUCUUAACCGAGCCAAAAGCCACAGCCUCACCGCCGGUCGUUAAAAGCGAAUGCUAAAUGAAAGCAUGUUAGAAACGCGAAAGAGUAACGCGAUGGUGGCGGGACCCUGACCCUAGAGCGACGACUCCAGCCCAGAAAACUGCUUUGUAGGUGGGAAUGGGAACAGUCCAGCUCUCAAGUCACCCUACUGAAAGAAACACCAUCGACUAUGACCUGCAGUCAGUCCCCAGUCUUGAGCUUGACUCUAAAUGGUGAGAAAUUAUUUUCCUGCUAUCAACAAACACUGCUGGCUGUCUGGAAACAAACGUAGAAAUUUUGGUCAUUUGAGGAUCUGAAGCAGGACUGAAGAUGGCAGCAAGCCAGUGGAUCACCACGGAUGUCACUGAAGCUACAAACUCUCAGGCAGACAGUGGGUGACAUCAUAGUGAGGAGAACGUGGCUGAUGGGAUACAUGGAGGAACAGCACACGUCGAGGUCAUGGUGUCUGUGAGACGUCAUAUAUGGGUGAUGACCUGGGAGCAGAAAUACCCCCCCAAACU